UGGGGAAUAUUGCACAAUGGGGGAAACCCUGAUGCAGCGACGCCGCGUGAGCGAAGAAGGUUUUCGAAUCGUAAAGCUCUGUCCUAUGAGAAGAUAAUGACGGUAUCAUAGGAGGAAGCCCCGGCUAAAUACGUGCCAGCAGCCGCGGUAAUACGUAUGGGGCGAGCGUUGUCCGGAAUUAUUGGGCGUAAAGGGUACGUAGGCGGUCUAUUAAGUCAGGUGUGAAAGCGUGAGGCUUAACCUCAUUAAGCACUUGAAACUGAUAGACUUGAGUGAAGGAGAGGAAAGUGGAAUUCCUAGUGUCGCGGUGAAAUGCGUAGAUAUUAGGAGGAAUACCUGUUGCGAAGGCGACUUUCUGGACUUUUACUGACGCUCAGGUACGAAAGCGUGGGGAGCAAACAGG
rnacentral:rRNA from 1 species